rnacentral:lncRNA from 1 species
GGAUGCAUAGAUGGAGUCUCUGGUUUGAUGACCUGUCCUUUGGCGCCCCCUUCUGGAAGACUCAGUCAUCAGCCUGUGCGGGCCCUCCCAAGAGAGCUGUGUGGGGUGAAAUGGGGCCAAGUAGAAGGGGCCAGCUGGGAGAAGUCUUGUGUUGGGAUUCUCCACCCACUGUCCCCGGCUGCUGCACCCCUGCACCUCCACGUCUGCCCCCUGCCCGGGGCCAGGGCCCAGCAGUCAUGACAGACACCCCAGUGGAGGAAUCCCUCUUCCAAAUCAUCCACUGCUUCCACCAGUAUGCAGCCCGGCAAGGCGAUGUGGAGACCCUGUCCCUGCAGGAGUUGCAGGCCCUGCUCGUGGACAACGUGCCCCGCUUCAUGGACAGCUUGGGCCGGAAGGAGCCGUACUAUAUCACAGAACUGUUCCAGGCUGCAGACAAGAACAAGGACAACCAGAUCUGCUUCGAUGAGUUCCUCUACAUCUUGGGAAAGCUGGUGAAGGACUACCACCUGCAGUACCACCGGCAGCUGUGCGCUCACCACUGUGCUCGACACAGCCUCUACUAGAGGGAGCUCAGGCAGCCUCCUGCCCACCGGAGCCUGACCCAGGAGGAGGUGUGGCCUGGCUAUCAGGAACUGAAAGGAGAACCCAGCUGUGUGUGUCUCUGUGUGUGUGCACAUGUCUGUACCUGUCUGUGGAAAGGAGAGCCGUGUGAGAGAGAAUAAAGCAAUUUCAUACAUAUUUCCAAGGAUUUGUCAGUAUGUGGUUCUGGGCUUCACCUACAAUCCAGAAAAAGAAGUUUCAGUCCCAACCUGGGAAAGAUCUAUUUUAGAUGAAUGAAAUAGCCCUUGCCUCCAGGAAGCUCCUGUUUGAGUGGAAGAAACAGCUUCUAUCUCCAGGGAGCCCCUGUCUGAGGGGGCAGACACGCUCCUACCUCCAGGGAGCCCCUGUCUGAGGGGGAGAUACAGCUUAUAUCUCCAGGGAGACCCUGUCUGAGG